GACGAACGCUGGCGGCGUGCUUAACACAUGCAAGUCGAACGGUAAGGCUCCAGCUUGCUGGGGUACACGAGUGGCGAACGGGUGAGUAACACGUGGGUGACCUGCCCUGCACUUCGGGAUAAGCCUGGGAAACUGGGUCUAAUACCGGAUAGGACCGCACCGUGAGGGUGUGGUGGAAAGUUUUUUCGGUGUGGGAUGGGCCCGCGGCCUAUCAGCUUGUUGGUGGGGUAAUGGCCUACCAAGGCGGCGACGGGUAGCCGGCCUGAGAGGGUGGACGGCCACAUUGGGACUGAGACACGGCCCAGACUCCUACGGGAGGCAGCAGUGGGGAAUAUUGCACAAUGGGCGGAAGCCUGAUGCAGCGACGCCGCGUGGGGGAUGACGGCCUUCGGGUUGUAAACUCCUUUCACCAUCGACGAAGGGUUUCUGACGGUAGAUGGAGAAGAAGCACCGGCUAACUACGUGCCAGCAGCCGCGGUAAUACGUAGGGUGCGAGCGUUGUCCGGAAUUACUGGGCGUAAAGAGCUCGUAGGUGGUUUGUCGCGUCGUCUGUGAAAUUCCGGGGCUUAACUCCGGGCGUGCAGGCGAUACGGGCAUAACUUGAGUACUGUAGGGGAGACUGGAAUUCCUGGUGUAGCGGUGAAAUGCGCAGAUAUCAGGAGGAACACCGGUGGCGAAGGCGGGUCUCUGGGCAGUAACUGACGCUGAGGAGCGAAAGCAUGGGGAGCGAACAGGAUUAGAUACCCUGGUAGUCCAUGCCGUAAACGGUGGGCGCUAGGUGUGGGUUUCCUUCCACGGGAUCCGUGCCGUAGCUAACGCAUUAAGCGCCCCGCCUGGGGAGUACGGCCGCAAGGCUAAAACUCAAAGGAAUUGACGGGGGCCCGCACAAGCGGCGGAGCAUGUGGAUUAAUUCGAUGCAACGCGAAGAACCUUACCUGGGCUUGACACAUACAGGAUCGCGCCAGAGAUGGUGUUUCCCUUGUGGCUUGUAUACAGGUGGUGCAUGGUUGUCGUCAGCUCGUGUCGUGAGAUGUUGGGUUAAGUCCCGCAACGAGCGCAACCCUUGUCUUAUGUUGCCAGCACGUUGUGGUGGGGACUCGUAAGAAACUGCCGGGGUUAACUCGGAGGAAGGUGGGGAUGACGUCAAAUCAUCAUGCCCCUUAUGUCCAGGGCUUCACACAUGCUACAAUGGUCGGUACAGUGGGUUGCCAGUCCGUGAGGGCGAGCUAAUCCCGCAAAGCCGGUCUCAGUUCGGAUCGGGGUCUGCAACUCGACCCCGUGAAGUCGGAGUCGCUAGUAAUCGCAGAUCAGCAACGCUGCGGUGAAUACGUUCCCGGGCC
rnacentral:rRNA from 1 species